AGCUCGACCGGAUCGACACCGCGAGUGACGAGGAGGUAGUCGCGGAUGCAGAAGGCGUGGCGACCCUC
rnacentral:sRNA from 1 species